GAGACGGAGUCUCACUCUGUUGCCAGGCUGAAGUGCUAUGGCUCGAUCUCGGCUCACUGCAACCUCCACCUCCCGGGUUCAAGCGAUUCCUCUGCCUCAGCUGGGACUACAGGCGCGUGCCACAAUGCCUGGCUAAUUUUUUGUAUUUUAGUAGACACAGGGUUUCACCAUGUUGUCCAGGAUGGACUCAAUCUCCUGACGUCGUGAUCCGCCUGCCUCGGCCUCCCAAAGUGUUGGGAUUAUAGGCGUGAGCCACCGUCAGAGUUUUCUUCUUGUUGCCCGGGCUGGAGUGCAGUGGCGCAAUCUCGGCUCACUGCAACCUCCACCUCCCGGGUCCAAGCAAUUCUCCUAUCUCAGCCUCCUAAGUAGCUAGGAUUAUAGGCACGCGCCACCAUGCCCAGCUAAUUUUU
rnacentral:lncRNA from 1 species